UACGGAGGGCGCAAUCGUUGUUCGGAAUUACUGGGCGUAAAGGGCGUGUAGGCGGUCUGGUAAGUCGGUUGUGAAAUCCCCGGGCUCAACCCGGGAACUGCAUCCGAAACUGCUGGGCUAGAGUUCCGGAGAGGAAGGCAGAAUUCCCAAUGUAGGGGUGAAAUCCGUAGAUAUUGGGAGGAAUACCAGUGGCGAAGGCGGCCUUCUGGACGGUGACUGACGCUGAGACGCGAAAGCGUGGGGAGAAAACAGG
rnacentral:rRNA from 1 species